rnacentral:rRNA from 1 species
AUUGAACGCUGGCGGCAGGCUUAACACAUGCAAGUCGAGCGGAGAUGAGGUGCUUGCACCUUAUCUUAGCGGCGGACGGGUGAGUAAUGCUUAGGAAUCUGCCUAUUAGUGGGGGACAACAUUCCGAAAGGAAUGCUAAUACCGCAUACGUCCUACGGGAGAAAGCAGGGGAUCUUCGGACCUUGCGCUAAUAGAUGAGCCUAAGUCGGAUUAGCUAGUUGGUGGGGUAAAGGCCUACCAAGGCGACGAUCUGUAGCGGGUCUGAGAGGAUGAUCCGCCACACUGGGACUGAGACACGGCCCAGACUCCUACGGGAGGCAGCAGUGGGGAAUAUUGGACAAUGGGCGGAAGCCUGAUCCAGCCAUGCCGCGUGUGUGAAGAAGGCCUUUUGGUUGUAAAGCACUUAGGCGAGGAGGAGGCUACCUAGAUUAAUACUCUGGGAUAGUGGACGUUACUCGCAGAAUAAGCACCGGCUAACUCUGUGCCAGCCGCCGCAGUAAAAC